rnacentral:lncRNA from 1 species
CUCUGCUCAGCGGCGGCUGCGCUGCGCUGCGCUGGGUGGCGGGUCCCAGCAGCUGGCCGGGGCCGGGAGGGGCAGGGGCAGCCACUCCCCCGGCGCCGCCCGGCCCCUCCUUAUAAGGCAACGGCAGCUGCAGGCGGAGGCGCGGGGGUCACCCUUAGAAUUCACAUGGCCGGGUGGGAUUCCGCCCCUGGCUAGGACGGUCCAGAUGUGGAACGCGGAUGCCGAUUUAGAGCGAGCCUCCCUCCCGCAGCUGAAAGCGCUCGCGAGACCUAGGGGAGCCCGCUCCUUCCCCAUGACUCCUGAGCGACAGCGGCGUCACGAAGACUGCUGUGCUCACUGUGGCCUGGCGAGGACCCCAGGUUGUAAUCGUACACGUCCUAACUCUCCAGCUCCAGCCACCCCAGGGAGGUGCCCACAGCGGGACUCGGACUUGUUCUCUUGACCCUCACUGUCUCUGAGACCAAGCCACCCCUGAGUCUGACCCCAGACGUGGACCCUCACCUAACUUCAUACCACCCUCCGGUCCAAACAGAUUUCCCAAAACGUUCCUGAGUUUGCUCACUCCUCCCUCAGCAGGGACUGCAGCUGCCCUCCUAGCCUGUACUCUGGGGUCUGUCAGUUUCUUCAGAUCUCAGCAGCCCUUCCCUAGUCUUGACGAAGAGACUGGCUCAGGUCUUCACCCCUGAGAAGAGCACCAAGACAACUCUAAUAAGCUCCCUGUGCCAAGGGAACUCUUCCUCACUGGUGGACCAGAGAAUUUGGAAGCCCUCUCGGAAGAUAAGUGUUGAAGUUUUUCCGUUAGGAAUGGUGAGUUGGCUCAGCGGUAAAGGCGCUUGAGUUCUGAGUUGGAUUCCUGGAAGAACACAGUGGAAAGGGAGGACUGACUCUUGAAAGAGAUCUUCUACAGGGAUGGUGGUGAGCGCCGCCGCCCCCCAGCAUUGUCUAAACUGAGUUGGUUAAUUCAAAACAUACCUUUUUCUCACCAUAAAAAAUUAAAGACUUUUAAUAAAUGAGGACUGAAUUAAACUGAUUCA